UACGAAGGGGGCUAGCGUUGUUCGGAGUUACUGGGCAUAAAGCGCACGUAGGCGGAUAUUUAAGUCAGGGGUGAAAUCCCAGAGCUCAACUCUGGAACUGCCUUUGAUACUGGGUAUCUUGAGUAUGGAAGAGGUAAGUGGAAUUGCGAGUGUAGAGGUGAAAUUCGUAGAUAUUCGCAGGAACACCAGUGGCGAAGGCGGCUUACUGGUCCCAUAAC
rnacentral:rRNA from 1 species